AUGCGGUACCGCCAGCGCUCGAGGCGGCCCUUGCGAGCGUGUAACGCCCGAGACCGAUGUGCCAGGUGUCGUUCAGUUAUUCGCUGGCGUUGCCUUGUCAUUGCUUGCGUGUCAUGCAUUGCAUAUCAUGUCAUCAUGCGCAUUUCAUUGCAUACGUGUUCGUCUCGCGCAUCCGAGCAUUUUCCCCGUUAUCCGUUUUGCAUUCCGGCGCUUCGUUCUCCUCCGGUGGUCAUUUCUACCUUCCUUUCGUGUGUGGGCAUUAAACAUUUCCGGAUUGGACCGAGACUUGUCUUGCGGCCUUGGUUUACUACCGGUAGACCGCCUGUCAAGUUUCGUAUCAUUUGGACUUCGUUUGAUACUCCAACGGUUAACCGAGGGACCGAAAAGGCCUAG
rnacentral:rRNA from 1 species